rnacentral:rRNA from 1 species
CAGUCGCCGCGGGAAUACGGAGGGUGCAAGCGUUAAUCGGAAUUACUGGGCGUAAAGCGCACGCAGGCGGUCUGUCAAGUCAGAUGUGAAAUCCCCGGGCUUAACCUGGGAACUGCAUUUGAAACUGGCAGGCUAGAGUCUUGUAGAGGGGGGUAGAAUUCCAGGUGUAGCGGUGAAAUGCGUAGAGAUCUGGAGGAAUACCGGUGGCGAAGGCGGCCCCCUGGACAAAGACUGACGCUGAGGUGCGAAAGCGUGGGGAGCAAACAGGAUUAGAGACCCCGGUAGUCCCUGUCUCUUAUAC